CGGUGGCGAUGGCGAUGGACGGGAUGAGACGGUGGAGCACCAGACAGGAAAAGGGCUUGGCUCGCAUUAGGGUGACAACGAAACUGGGACAGUUGGUACACAGAGUUGGACCUCUACGCGAUCCAUGUCGUCCAUUUCGGAGUUCUUGAUCUGUUGCAGCUUUUCACGGAACUUCUUAGUGAUCUGUUUCCGCUGAUAGUCCGCCUCGAUUUCCUGUUUGGUGCGCGGAAUCCGGAAGCGAAUGCAGCAACAGACCAUAAUCACUAAACGAUCGCAUUAAAAUUCCAAGAACGGCAGCUAUAAUGUGCCACACUCGAAAGCCCCCAAUGGCCUCCUUUUCCAGCCACACUUCGCGUGGGUCGAUGUCAAAGAUGUCCGUAUCGUCGUCCAUUU